rnacentral:lncRNA from 1 species
CAUCUCGAAUAUUCUGUCCACAUCUUCCCAGAGUGAAUCAUCCUGGGCUGCUCGGUUUAGUGGGGGUCUUUCUCUCCUCAUUUCUUUGCACCUACAUUUCAUACGGAAGAGUUGAGUAACGAUUUAUCGGUGGGUAUUUCUCUCAGCAUUAUUGUGUAAGGGAUGGGUCCGAGGAACGCAGCUCUGAUACCAACUGUAACGGCCCAGGAAUUUAAAUGAAGAUGUAUGUAUUAAAAAUCUUAAAUGCGGAAGUGUAAUAAAAAUUUUGAUUAACA